rnacentral:rRNA from 1 species
AAACAUCGCCUCUUGCAAAACAUAAGAGGUCCAGCCUGCCCGGUGACUUUUGUUUAACGGCCGCGGUAUCCUAACCGUGCGAAGGUAGCGCAAUCACUUGUCUUUUAAUUAAAGACUAGUAUGAAAGGCAUCACGAGGGUCAGACUGUCUCCUUUUUCUAAUCAGUGAAACUAAUCUUCCCGUGAAAAAGCGAGAAUAAUUAUACAAGACGAGAAGACCCUUUGGAGCUUUAAACUUAACAGCAUUUAAUCUACUAAACCAAUAUAAAGAUUCUUAAUAUUUUGUUGUAAGUUUUUGGUUGGGGCGACCGCGGAGAAAAACUAAUCCUCCGCAAUGAAUAAGAACUUUCUUAAACAAUAAGCCACAGCUUUAUUUAUCAAUAUACUUGACAUCCAUUGACCCAAUAAUUUGAUCAACGAACCAAGUUACCCUAGGGAUAACAGCGCCAUCUACUUUGAGAGCUCCUAUCGACAAGUAGGCUUACGACCUCGAUGUUGGAUCAGGGUAUCCCAGUGGUGUAGACGCUACUAACGGUUCGUUUGUUCAACGAUUAAAACCCCACGUGAU